rnacentral:rRNA from 1 species
AUACAGAGGGCGCGAGCGUUAAUGGGAAUUACUGGGCGUAAAGCGCGCGUAGGCGGCUUAUUAAGUCAGAUGUGCAAUCCCCGGGCUCAACCUGGGAACUGCAUCUGAUACUGGUAAGCUAGAGUUUUGGAGAGGGAAGUAGAAUUUCAGGUGUAGCGGUGAAAUGCAUAGAGAUCUGAAGGAAUACCAGUGGCGAAGGCGACUUCCUGGCCAAAAACUGACGCUGAGGUGCGAAAGCGUGGGUAGCAAACGGGAUUAGAAACCCCAGUAGUCC